UUUCUGUCUUUUCUGGUCCAG
rnacentral:miRNA from 1 species